CUGGCUCAGGAUGAACGCUAGCUACAGGCUAACACAUGCAAGUCGAGGGGCAGCGUGUACAGGUGCUUGCACCAGUACGACGGCGACCGGCGCACGGGUGAGUAACGCGUAUCCAACCUGCCAUAUACUCGGGGAUAGCCCGGUGAAAACCGAAUUAACACCCGAUGAGAUUCCUUGCGGACAUCCAACUGGAAUCAAAGUUUCACGGUAUAUGAUGGGGAUGCGUCUGAUUAGCUUGUUGGCGGGGUAACGGCCCACCAAGGCUACGAUCAGUAGGGGUUCUGAGAGGAAGGUCCCCCACAUUGGUACUGAGACACGGACCAAACUCCUACGGGAGGCAGCAGUGAGGAAUAUUGGUCAAUGGGCGAGAGCCUGAACCAGCCCAAGUAGCGUGCAGGAUGACGGCCCUAUGGGUUGUAAACUGCUUUUGUAAGGGAACAAAGUUCGGGACGUGUCCCGUUUUGCGUGUACCUUACGAAUAAGGACCGGCUAAUUCCGUGCCAGCCGCUGC
rnacentral:rRNA from 1 species